AAGACGUAGGGCGCGAGCGUUGUCCGGAUUUAUUGGGCGUAAAGAGCUCGUAGGCGGCUUGUUGCGUCGUCGGUGAAAACCCGCAGCUCAACUGCGGGCUUGCCGUCGAUACGGGCGGGCUAGAGUUCGGUAGGGGAGACUGGAAUUCCUGGUGUAGCGGUGAAAUGCGCAGAUAUCAGGAGGAACACCGGUGGCGAAGGCGGGUCUCUGGGCCGAUACUGACGCUGAGGAGCGAAAGCGUGGGGAGCGAACAGG
rnacentral:rRNA from 1 species